rnacentral:misc_RNA from 1 species
GUCUCAAGAUUUCCUCCCUGCGGCGAUAUCAAAAGCGUCGAGCAUAGUCAGGUAGUUCAACAGGCCGGCUAUCAGUAAGAAAGUAUUGCCAUAUUCGUAUGUUGCGCGUGCAGCCUGCGCCGGAUCGUCGGCGAAACCAUAGCCGAGCACCCACGACAUGAUGUAGAGCGCGCCGGUGCCGAGGUUCGCGAUCAUUGGCGGCACUUGCAGAAGCUGCGAUGAACCUUCGGCCGCAUUGAGGCCAAACAUGUGGCCGCCCAUGUUUAGUCCGAUGAAGAACGCAGC